rnacentral:rRNA from 1 species
AAUCAACGCUGGCGGCGUGCCUAACACAUGCAAGUCGAACGCGAAAGCCCCGCAAGGGGUAAGUAGAGUGGCGCACGGGUGAGUAACACGUGGAUAACCUGCCUUUGAGUGGGGAAUAACCUUCCGAAAGGAGGGCUAAUACCGCAUAACACCUUUAGACAAAAGUCAAAGGGUUAAAAGGAGCAAUUCGCUCAAAGAGGGGUCCGCGCCUGAUUAGCUAGUUGGUGAGGUAACGGCUCACCAAGGCUUCGAUCAGUAGCCGUCCUGAGAGGGAGCACGGCCACACUGGAACUGAGACACGGUCCAGACUCCUAUGGGAGGCAGCAGUGGGGAAUUUUGGCAAUGGGCGAAAGCCUGACCAAGCAACGCCGCGUGGGUGAUGAAGUAUCUUGGUACGUAAAACCCUUUCGGACAGGGACGAACUCAAUGACGGUACCUGCAGAAGAA